rnacentral:tRNA from 1 species
GGCACGGUGGCUCAGUGGUUAGAACUGUCCUCUCCGGCAAGAAGGUCGCUGGUUCAAGUCCAGGCUGUGCCA